UUGGAAAUGAGGGCGUCUUAGAAUUAUACGGGGGAAGGGACCCGGUGAUACUCCUCGAACCAGGCUCUGGCCUGAGGCAGGUGGAUGCCCUAUCCACUCAAAAGGCCCAAGGGUUUCUGCACAUCUUCACCUGGAAGACAGGGAUUGCUUUGGUGCUGCCUCCAGACGACAGUCCAGUGUCACCAGGGCGUGGGCACCUUAAAAACCUCUGGUAUUGGGAUGGGGUCUGAACGUUCAGACUCUCCCCAACUUCAUACAUAGAAUGCUCCCAGAACUCCUAAAGUCCGUGGAAUCUUCGAUGUGAGGGUCCUCACUGUGCUAAUGAAUGGCCCAGAAGUAUGGCAGGACCAAGGUUUGACAUAUUAAAGAAGACAGUUGGCGGAGAGACUGGAAGCCCUUUCCCACCUGGGCUUCAUAGUACAAAUGGAGCAUGCUCAAGAAAAGCCCAGGAUCUACAAAUAUGGAGGGGGUGGGUCUAUGUAAUGUCCUGUAAGAGGUCAUGAGCUCAGGUCCAGCACUUUGGGGCUUCUCCCUCCACUCACCACCCCUCUCCCGUUUGGGGGCACACUUUCCCUUUCUUCAGCGGUUUCUGUUUCCAGUUACACUGUCGCUUUUCCAUUUUUAAUUAUGUGUUUCUGUUCAGUUCUUUGCCAUGAAAUUCAAGAACCUGGAUAUUUAAUCAGGUCCCCGGGAACUCAGAGGAAUACCAGCUCGCUCGAGCACGUGGCUCUGGCAGGCCUUACCUAUCUUCCCUAUUCUCUCCGCUGUGCUGAAAACCAUUAGAUUACAUUCCGGAAGCUAGCCGCCAAGGUCUGUUCCCUUCCUCCUCCGGAGGCUGACUACCAAGGUCCAGCUAUGGAGGUAUUGAAGUCCAGCAAUCGGAAGCUCCUUCUGGCUCAUCUAAUUAACAUGCCCAAUUAAAAUUAAACAUCUCAUCCUUUACCUUUAUAAACCGCCAUUUGCCUAUGCGCCACGUCUGACCCCUCUAUCCAGAGGCAGUCCUUUGUCCCUCUGGGACAAAUACCGCUGCCCACCUUCCCCUGUCCCCCUCCCCUCUUCCUCGCCCCCAUCCCCUAUCUCCUUUACCACUGCAUCCUAGCCCAUUCUAACACAGCCCUCCCCUCUUCCUCUAAACAAUGACACCUGCAAGGUCAUUUGCUGCUCUUGCCUGCCUGA